rnacentral:tRNA from 31 species
GCGUCCGUAGCUCAGUUGGUUAGAGCACCACCUUGACAUGGUGGGGGUCGUUGGUUCGAGUCCAAUUGAACGCACCA